UACAGAGGGUGCAAGCGUUGUUCGGAAUUAUUGGGCGUAAAGCGCGUGUAGGCGGCUUUGCAAGUCGGGUGUGAAAGCCCUCAGCUUAACUGAGGAAGUGCGCCCGAAACUGCAGAGCUUGAGUACCGGAGAGGGUGGCGGAAUUCCGCGUGUAGCAGUGAAAUGCGUAGAGAUGUGGAGGAAUACCGAUGGCGAAGGCGGCUUCCUGGCCUGUUCUUGACGCUGAGGCGCGAAAGCUAGGGUAGCAAACGGG
rnacentral:rRNA from 1 species